rnacentral:rRNA from 1 species
AUUGAACGCUGGCGGCAGGCCUAACACAUGCAAGUCGAGCGGAUGAAGGGAGCUUGCUCCUGGAUUCAGCGGCGGACGGGUGAGUAAUGCCUAGGAAUCUGCCUGGUAGUGGGGGAUAACGUCCGGAAACGGGCGCUAAUACCGCAUACGUCCUGAGGGAGAAAGUGGGGGAUCUUCGGACCUCACGCUAUCAGAUGAGCCUAGGUCGGAUUAGCUAGUUGGUGGGGUAAAGGCAUACCAAGGCGACGAUCCGUAACUGGUCUGAGAGGAUGAUCAGUCACACUGGAACUGAGACACGGUCCAGACUCCUACGGGAGGCAGCAGUGGGGAAUAUUGGACAAUGGGCGAAAGCCUGAUCCAGCCAUGCCGCGUGUGUGAAGAAGGUCUUCGGAUUGUAAAACACUUUAAGUUGGGAGGAAGGGCAGUAAGUUAAUACCUUGCUGUUUUGACGUUACCAACAGAAUAAGCACCGGCUAACUUCGUG